UUCCCCGGGUGUCUCUCUGCCAUCUGUCACCAGGGAGAGCGGCGCCUCACUUGCCUAUCAAUCUGAGGCUCAGGAGCUUCUGAACCAACAGGAGAGGAGGAGAAGCAGGCCAGAGGCAGAAAGGACUGCAGACCCCGGGGUGUCCCCAGUCAAGGUUUCUGGAACCUUCUGCUGCGGCGGUGAGUGGACUCGAGGUUUUCUUCCUCUUCUGAACAGGCUGUGUGCGUGCCUGGAGGGACCGGGCAGAACUUGGUGAUCUGAAGCCAGGGCGCGGGCCUGACUGAGAAGCGUAGGACACACAGUGCCUCCGCGCCCUGUGGGGAGCGGCGGGAAGCAGAGUCCUCUGAGAGCCCAGAUUACACACGCGCACAGCCACAGAGGGCACGGGUCACAGCGCAACUGCAAGCAGAGGACUUUUACCCCAGCUGGCUGCCCACCGGGGGAAUCCGUCCUUCCAGACACGCCUGCAUCCGUCCAGGAAAGGAACAGCUCCUGGGACAGAGCUGCCACUACCAGCCACAAGGCCAGGAGGAGCUGGAAGGGCCAGCAGCACUUGAUGACCCAGUUUGGAAAGGAAAACGCAAACCGUCCCUAGGGAACCUCCAUCGGCUGCAGACGCGUCGGCCAUUUGUAAUCCGAGGAGAGGGACUCAUGCAGAGGGAGAGAGUAAAUGGCCGAGAGCGGUGAGCUGACAGGAGACUCAGUGAAAGCGGCAAGAAGAUUUAAGACGGAGGCAGGAGUUAACCUUGGAAGGGCCAGGAGACCGUGACCAGGGAGAAACUCUGUUUGCUUAAUAAACUCCCUUAUGUGAUUUCCCGUGUCCGGCGUGGAUUUCUGGGAGCUAUUAUUGUUGAGCCGCAACUGAGACCGGGCGUCCAGAGCGCCAGUUCCGUUGGAGGGGCUGGAGCUACCGCGGGACCCGAACUGAGCUGCAUUUUUCCUUACAUUGGUGCCGUGACUUGGGAUGGGUCCUUCCACUGUCGCGAGUGGAACCCCAUCUAAGCCCCAGUGCCCCCGGACACGGCCCCACCUUCUAUUCUGCCCGGACGCUCUGCUCUGCAUUCAUCACCGGACUUCAGGUUGGUGAGUCCUCUAGGCCGGUUCUCCUAGGCUGAUUUAUACCCUCGAGGCGGCUGAGGGGUGGGUACCCCCAGUCACAACUUUUAUAAUUAUGGCAGGCCCCUUAGUCUGUCUUACCUGCGGGGUGGCUUCUUGAUUUUAUGGUGGAGAUUCUCUCAGGGUUGAGGCUCAUCUCGCGCUCGCACACUCGCACUUGAAAACCGUGAUAUCAGGUCCUCAACCCUUCUUGGCUUUUGCCCGGCACACACAUUGGUGCUUGUGUGACGACACAAUCAAUGUGCUGCCCCUCAUCUCCAGCCCAGUACCCUGGCCUCGGGAUGCCCUGGCCAC